GACGAAGGGGGCUAGCGUUGUUCGGAAUUACUGGGCGUAAAGCGAGUGUAGGUGGUUGUCGUAGUCAGGCGUGAAAGCCUUGAGCUCAACUCAAGAAAUGCGCUUGAUACUGGGCAGCUAGAGGACCGGAGAGGAUAGUGGAAUUCCCAGUGUAGUGGUGAAAUACGUAGAGAUUGGGAAGAACACCAGUGGCGAAGGCGGCUAUCUGGACGGUUUCUGACGCUAAGACGCGAAAGCGUGGGGAGCAAACAGG
rnacentral:rRNA from 1 species